UAGUUAGAAGUCUAGGAAUGGAAAUAGUUCUGAGUGCAGACGUCUAGAGCUAAAAGGAACCUCGGAGGUUAAAUAGAUAAAGCGAUUUAUUUUACAAAGAAGGAAAGCGGAGUUCAGGAAGGCUGGCUCCUAGGGUCGCCCUAGGUCAAGGAGGCUAUGACUAGCAGAAGCAGGAUUCGCCUUUAGGAGCCGGGGCACUUCCCACACGGACCCACUGCCUUCUAGCGAGAUUGAUGGAGUCUCGGAAGCCAGCAGGUGUGCAGGCAGGCCAGGGACGCGGAUUAGUCGUUUUGCAGGGUCAGGUUGGCGCACAUCUAGCUGAGGGCUCUGGGCAGCCAGCCAGAGAAUGAGGGACAGAAUGACCUGCCUCCGGAUCCAAAGUCAGGAGUUGCUCCAGAUGAAUUACUGCCAACUUUACAAGACAGACUGGACAAACUCCCAUAUUGUCCGGUCAUGAAACAGCUUCCAGGUGUGGGAAGUUAAGCUGCUUCUUCCCCUACCCUUAACAACACACACACACACCAUCCAAGUUGUCCCCUCUUUUCACCUGCCUACCUGUCCUUUAGAAACAAAGCUGAUUAAAA